AUUAUUUGAAUCCCAAGCACACAAGGCAAUGGCACAUGACCCAUGAAAUAAUUAUUUCAAUUUCACUUUCCAAGGAUUGAAAUAAUUAUCCUUAAAUAUUUUUUCAAUUUCAAAAAUGAGAUCCCACAUUCCCACUUAACCAAAGCAUCAAUCCUCUCACGGUCUCAAUAUUUUUUCCACAAGCUUCUCAAGCCAGAAGCAAUCCUUUGCCUAGCUCCACCACGCCAAGGGAUUCGCGUCUUUCUUCUCUGAAGUCUGACCCCCUCUCUCUCUCCGUCGCGUUUCAUCGGUGCAUCUGGGUUUCCAGAACAAGAGUGAGAGAAGAACACAAAGAUGAGAUAUUGGACCGAAGGAGAUCCAGAAUUUUCGUGGGCUGAUUUCUGGGCUGAAAAAAUUUGAUUGUAUUGGUUGAUGUUGAAAAGAGAUAAGUCCAAAAGAGAUAGAUGACAUGCCCAAAGCAGUAAUCUUUUUCUUUCAAAAGGUUACUUAUUUCACCUGUUUGCAAGGAUUGUUAGAAAUGAUUCCCAGGGUUUGUUAGACUAGCUUCCAUUUUAAGUUCUAUACCCGCUAUUAUGUGGAGACUCACUCAAGUAAGUAAUUUCACUUUUGAUUUUUGAAAUUGGUUGUUCCUAAAAAUUGUAUCUUUUAGGCAGAGGAGGUGAUCUCAUCCAAAUGUGAGAAUUUUUCAUGCAACCCAGGGCUGCUUGCAACAAUUUUCUUUGCAGAUAAGUUUUAUGACCCUUUAAUGAAGUUUAAAACAUUAUAUGGUCAAGUAUUUUGUUCAUCAUUUGCAGACCAUUGAUAACAGUUUUGAGUGCCUUGAUGAAUUUCUUUUCCAUUGGCUCUAACAAUUAUGAACGCUUUUUUUUCAUGGAAUUUGAUUAGCAAUUUUUGGCUGACGAACUCAAUUUUUGAAGCUUUUCCAUAUUAACUUGAGUUUAUAACAUAACAGUUCAUGAUCGUUUUGCCUCUGUUUGUGUAGGCUCUGUGCGAAUCACUUUCGAUCUCUUCCUCUUCUCCUCUGAGAUCUUCCACUGAAUGCAUGUUCCUGCGCUUGCAUUUUGGAACGGGAAAUAGAGCAUAAAUAUUACUGAUGCUUGAAUUCUUGCCAUCUCGUGAAGCCUCCUUGCUGGUUGUGUUGUUUAAGUGGGUGUUUGCUUUCAUUUUGGAGUUUAAGCCAAUUCUGUUUUGGCUGCCCUUUAUCUCCGUUUUGUUAUUCUUAGCAGGGUUGGUCUUUUACUUUUUUUGUACCUGUUAUCCUUUUUAUUUUCGACAAAAGAGAAUAAUAUAUUAUUAAUAGGAAUAAAAGUUAUUACAACA